rnacentral:snoRNA from 1 species
GGCCUCAUUCUAUAUGAAAAUGGGCACUGUUUUUUGUGUACGGUGUCCAGAAAUUUGUUAUUGUGGCUACAUUGAGACACAGGUUAUGCUUCCAUCACAGUAAUCUUAUUACAGUGGUGACAAUGAGACCUGUAACAUUU